GACGAACGCUGGCGGCGUGCCUAAUACGUGCAAGUUGAGCGCUGAAGGUUGGUACUUGUACCAACUGGAUGAGCAGCGCACGGGUGAGUAACGCGUGGGGAAUCUGCCUUUGAGCGGGGGACAACAUUUGGAAACGAAUGCUAAUACCGCAUAAAAACUUUAAACACAAGUUUUAAGUUUGAAAGAUGCAAUUGCAUCACUCAAAGAUGAUCCCGCGUUGUAUUAGCUAGUUGGUGAGGUAAAGGCUCACCAAGGCGAUGAUACAUAGCCGACCUGAGAGGGUGAUCGGCCACACUGGGACUGAGACACGGCCCAAACUCCUACGGGAGGCAGCAGUAGGGAAUCUUCGGCAAGGGACGAAAGUCUGACCGAGCAACGCCGCGUGAGUGAAGAAGGUUUUCGGAUCGUAAAACUCUGUUGGUAGGGAAGAACGUUGGUGAGGGUGGAAAGCUCAUCAAGUGACGGUAACUACCCAGAAAGGGACGGCUAACUACGUG
rnacentral:rRNA from 1 species